UACGGAGGGUGCAAGCGUUGUUCGGAAUUACUGGGCGUAAAGCGCGUGUAGGUGGCGCUGUAAGUCGGAUGUGAAAGCCCUCGGCUCAACCGAGGAAGUGCAUCCGAUACUGCAGUGCUUGAGUGUCGGAGGGGAUGGCGGAAUUCCCGGUGUAGAGGUGAAAUUCGUAGAUAUCGGGAGGAACACCUGUGGCGAAGGCGGCCAUCUGGACGAUUACUGACACUGAGACGCGAAAGCGUGGGUAGCAAAC
rnacentral:rRNA from 1 species